UACGUAGGGGGCGAGCGUUGUCCGGAAUGACUGGGCGUAAAGGGCGUGUAGGCGACCGAUUAAGUAUGGAGUGAAAGUCCUGCUUUCAAGGUGGGAAUUGCUUUGUAGACUGGUUGGCUUGAGUGCGGAAGAGGUAAGUGGAAUUCCCAGUGUAGCGGUGAAAUGCGUAGAGAUUGGGAGGAACACCAGUGGCGAAGGCGACUUACUGGGCCGUAACUGACGCUGAGGCGCGAAAGCGUGGGGAGCGAACAGGAUUAGAUACCCUGGUAGUCCACGCUGUAAACGAUGAAUGCUAGGUGUUGCGGGUAUCGACCCCUGCAGUGCCGGAGUAAACGCAAUAAGCAUUCCGCCUGGGGAGUACGGCCGCAAGGUUGAA
rnacentral:rRNA from 1 species